AUUGAACGCUGGCGGCAGGCCUAACACAUGCAAGUCGAGCGGAUGAAGGGAGCUUGCUCCUGGAUUCAGCGGCGGACGGGUGAGUAAUGCCUAGGAAUCUGCCUGGUAGUGGGGGAUAACGUCCGGAAACGGGCGCUAAUACCGCAUACGUCCUGAGGGAGAAAGUGGGGGAUCUUCGGACCUCACGCUAUCAGAUGAGCCUAGGUCGGAUUAGCUAGUUGGUGGGGUAAAGGCCUACCAAGGCGACGAUCCGUAACUGGUCUGAGAGGAUGAUCAGUCACACUGGAACUGAGACACGGUCCAGACUCCUACGGGAGGCAGCAGUGGGGAAUAUUGGACAAUGGGCGAAAGCCUGAUCCAGCCAUGCCGCGUGUGUGAAGAAGGUCUUCGGAUUGUAAAGCGCUUUAAGUUGGGAGGAAGGGCAGUAAGUUAAUCCCUUGCUGUUUUGACGUUACCAACAGAAUAAGCACCGGCUAACUUCGUG
rnacentral:rRNA from 1 species